rnacentral:rRNA from 1 species
AGUCUUCGGACUGCGGAAGAGUGGCGAACGGGUGAGGAACACGUAAGAAUCUGCCCCUCGGUCGGGGACAACUCUUGGAAACGAGAGCUAAUACCCGAUACGCUGUGGAGUGAAAGAAUUUCGCCGAGGGAUGAUCUUGCGUCUGAUUAGCUAGUUGGUGUGGUAACUGCACACCAAGGCGACGAUCAGUAGCUGGUCUGAGAGGAUGGACAGCCACAUUGGAACUGAGACACGGUCCAAACUCCUACGGGAGGCAGCAGUGGGGAAUUUUCCGCAAUGGACGAAAGUCUGACGGAGCGACGCUGCGUGAAGGAUGACGGCCCGCGGGUUGUAAACUUCUUUUCUCGAAGAAGAAACAAAUGACGGUAUUCGAGGAAUAAGCAUCGGCUAACUCCGUGCCAGCAGCCGCGGUAAGACGGAGGAUGCAAGUGUUAUUCGGAAUGAUUGGGCGUAAAGAGUCUGUAGGCUGUAUAGAAAGUCUUUUGUUAAAUUCCUCGGCUCAACCGAGAUCAAGCAAAGGAAACUUCUAUACUUGAGGG